AUGGCUGUCGUCAGCUCGUGUCGUGAGAUGUUGGGUUAAGUCCCGCAACGAGCGCAACCCCUGCCAUUAAUUGCCAUCAUUUAGUUGGGCACUUUAAUGGGACUGCCGGUGACAAACCGGAGGAAGGUGGGGAUGACGUCAAGUCCUCAUGGCCCUUAUGGCCAGGGCUUCACACGUAAUACAAUGGUCGGUACAGAGGGAAGCCAACCCGCGAGGGGGAGCCAAUCUCAGAAAGCCGGUCGUAGUCCGGAUUGUUGUCUGCAACUCGACAGCAUGAAGUCGGAAUCGCUAGUAAUCGCGGAUCAGCAUGUCGCGGUGAAUACGUUCCCGGGCCUUGUACACACCGCCCGUCACACCAUGGGAGUGGGUUUUACCAGAAGUAGUUAGUCUAUCCGCAAGGGGGACGAUUACCACGGUAGGAUUCAUGACUGGGGUGAAGUCGUAACAAGGUAGCCGUAUCGGAAGGUGCGGCUGGAUCACCUCCUUUCUAGAGAAUAAAUCUCUCUAUAAGCAUUCACACUUAUCAGUUGUUGGUAGCACAAAGAAUUUAAGUAAUUGGCCCUGUUUAGGGUCUGUAGCUCAGCUGGUUAGAGCACCGUGUUGAUAACGCGGGGGUCGUUGGUUCGAGCCCAACCAGACCCACCAGUUUUAAUUAAUAUGUAACUUAAAAUGGGGGAUUAGCUCAGCUGGGAGAGCACCUGCUUUGCAAGCAGGGGGUCAUCGGUUCGAUCCCGUUAUCCUCCACCAAUUCUUUGUAUAAAAAAGGUAAGCCUUAAGCGUUUAUUAAAUUAAAUGUUUAAGGCUAGCUUUUUAGCUAGUAUGUUCUUUAACAAUAUGGAAGAAGUAAAUUAGAAAUCAUAAGAUUGUGAUGAGAUUAUGAUUUCAAAUGGGUAAUGAUUGCAAAAUCAAAUACUAAAUCAACACUUUGCAUCUAAAUUUUAUAUUUAGAUAAAAAGAGUUUUUAAAGUAAGCUUUAGAAGAAACUAUAAUGACCGUCUCAUGCGGGAAAACGUAAGUAGAAAAGGGCUUAGGUUUUAAAGUUAUAGGAUCAAGUGAAUAAGUGCAUAUGGUGAAUGCCUUGGCGAUUACAGGCGAUGAAGGACGUGGUAGUCUGCGAAAUUUUUCGGGGAGCUGGCAAACAAGCUUUGAUCCGGAAGUGUCCGAAUGGGGAAACCCGG
rnacentral:sRNA from 1 species